rnacentral:lncRNA from 1 species
AACUGUUUCAGUAUAAUAAAGAAAAUAGAAUAAGAAUAGUCAUAAUACAAAUUAGAUACAGCGAUGAUCAUGAACAAUUAUCCAUCAUUAUAAACAUUAUUAAUCAUUAGCUUUUAAUAUUACUCUGUUGCAUUAAUAAUAUAACCUAGGAAUAACCGGCGGGUGUAGGGUCAGGUGCUGAAGGGACAUUGUGAGAAGUGAAUAGAAGGCAAGAGGGGAACCUUCUGUCACACCCGCAUAAGGGCCGCUUGAGGGCCCCUUGGUCAAGCGGUAAUGCCAGUGUCUGGGAAGGCACCCGUUACUUAGCAGACCGCGAAAGGGAGUCUCCUUUCCUUGGAGGAGUCAGGGAACGCUCUGCUCCACCAGCUUCUUGUGGGAGGCUGGAUGUUAUCCAGGCCUGCCCGCAGUCAUCCGGAGGCCCUGGUGCCUGUGGAGGGGCUUUUACCUGCUUGAGGUGCACAACCGCCCCCACCUUCCCCAUCAACGGGCUCUUCCUGCUCCACCGGGUCUCCGAGGGUGUCAAAACGCUCCCCGUCUCCCACUUCUCGUCCGGCCGUGGGGGUGGCGGUGAGGGGCCUGGCCAAGGCCGCCCGCCCUUCCCAGAGGCCGCCCCAGCUCGCCGCCCCCUCCCGCCUGGGAGUGAGUCAUGAUGUGCGUGACCUGUGGCUGGCGGCCUGCGCCCUGCACCUUGUCCCACCCUUGCGUCAGCGCUGACAGCGGGAAGCCCCCAGGAUCGCUCUGACUCACGUGCACCAGGAAGCUGCCCGGAUGCCCCUUCUGCAGCAACAGCUUCUCAGCCUCCUUGCCAGACAGGCGCCCGUGGUACCACCUGGGCCAGGCACAGGCGAGCACAGAGACCGCCCAGCACCACGUCCAACUCUCACCACCUUCCCAGGGCAUCGGCCCCCCGCACCAAGUCCUCGUGUCCAGGAAGCUGCCCACCGGUCCUCCAGGAGGCCUUCAACCAGACCCUGUCCAUGCCCAGCCAGGGCCCACCCACCUGACGGACAGCGUGAAGCCCCCCGGGCUGCUCUCGCUGGGCCUGGCAAGGAAGUCCCCACGCUGACCUCUGGAUAGGAACAGCUUCUCCGCCUCCACCCUGCUGACGUUGGGGUGAAGCCACCUGGAGUGGGGAGAGCAGGAUCUCGGACUUCCAGCCUCCAAAGUUGAGGGAAGG